UAGCUACAGGCUUAACACAUGCAAGUCGAGGGGCAGCAUGGUCUUAGCUUGCUAAGGCCGAUGGCGACCGGCGCACGGGUGAGUAACGCGUAUCCAACCUGCCUUACACUCUUGGACAGCCUUCUGAAAGGGAGAUUAAUACAAGAUGUUAUCAUGAGUAAGCAUUUUCGCAUGAUUAAAGGUUUACCGGUGUAAGAUGGGGAUGCGUUCCAUUAGAUAGUAGGCGGGGUAACGGCCCACCUAGUCUUCGAUGGAUAGGGGUUCUGAGAGGAAGGUCCCCCACAUUGGAACUGAGACACGGUCCAAACUCCUACGGGAGGCAGCAGUGAGGAAUAUUGGUCAAUGGACGAGAGUCUGAACCAGCCAAGUAGCGUGAAGGAUGAAGGUUCUAUGGAUUGUAAACUUCUUUUAUACGGGAAUAAACGGAUCCACGUGUGGAUUUUUGCAUGUACCGUAUGAAUAAGGAUCGGCUAACUCCAUGCCAGCAGCCGCGGUAAUACGGAGGAUCCGAGCGUUAUCCGGAUUUAUUGGGUUUAAAGGGAGCGUAGAUGGGUUGUUAAGUCAGUUGUGAAAGUUUGCGGCUCAACCGUAAAAUUGCAAUUGAUACUGGCAGUCUUGAGUACAGUUGAGGUAGGCGGAAUUCGUGGUGUAGCGGUGAAAUGCUUAGAUAUCACGAAGAACUCCGAUUGCGAAGGCAGCUUACUAACCUGUAACUGACAUUGAUGCUCGAAAGUGUGGGUAUCAAACAGGAUUAGAUACCCUGGUAGUCCACACGGUAAACGAUGAAUACUCGCUGUAGGCGAUAUACAGUCUGCGGCCAAGCGAAAGCAUUAAGUAUUCCACCUGGGGAGUACGCCGGCAACGGUGAAACUCAAAGGAAUUGACGGGAGCCCGCACAAGCGGAGGAACAUGUGGUUUAAUUCGAUGAUACGCGAGGAACCUUACCCGGGCUUAAAUUGCAACCGAAUAUGGCGGAAACGCUAUAGCUAGCAAUAGCGGUUGUGAAGGUGCUGCAUGGUUGUCGUCAGCUCGUGCCGUGAGGUGUCGGCUUAAGUGCCAUAACGAGCGCAACCCUUGCCGAUAGUUACUAACAGGUCAUGCUGAGGACUCUGUCGGGACUGCCAUCGUAAGAUGUGAGGAAGGUGGGGAUGACGUCAAAUCAGCACGGCCCUUACGUCCGGGGCUACACACGUGUUACAAUGGGGGGUACAGAGGGCUGCUACCACGCAAGUGGAUGCCAAUCCCAAAAACCUCUCUCAGUUCGGAUUGAAGUCUGCAACCCGACUUCAUGAAGCUGGAUUCGCUAGUAAUCGCGCAUCAGCCACGGCGCGGUGAAUACGUUCCCGGGCCUUGUACACACCGCCUGUCAAGCCAUGGGAGCCGGGGGUACCUGAAGUGCGUAACCGCAAGGAGCGCCCUAGGGUAAAACUGGUGACUGGG
rnacentral:rRNA from 1 species